rnacentral:lncRNA from 1 species
GAGCUUCUUAGUUGCAAAUUCUUUACCUUCGCCACCAAAUUCUGCGAGGGCAGCACGAAUUGCUGCCAGUUCAGCUCUCGUAAUAGUGUUUGUGCACCCGGCGCCAUUUGGAUUCACGUAGACAACGCGAGAAUCGCUGAACCAGGCGCAGGCGCCGGCAACCUGGACUUCUUUGCCAUUGUCAGUUUUGAUUUUGCUUACCGAACCAUCUGUCCAGACAGUGCCAUUCACGUCGUGGGCCAGAGCAUGGUGGGUCUGGAAUCGCGCGUUAGGAAAGCGUCGUGCUUCGUCAGCCAUGGCGUGUAUCGUCUUUGGGUUAGCGUGCUGGUAUUUGGCUUGCUUUAGAAGUGAGUUUGGGAGGGCCGGGCAGGUUGGGGCCGUGGCCGUGUGUGUCCACGUGCGCGGGUCGCUGAUGUGCGUGGGUGCGUUCGCCCCCCGUUUCAGUGUGUCCACGAGCCGUUUCAGGCGGGGGGCAAAGCACUGGAGUCCGGCGGGUUUCCCAACAAUGACCAGUCGGAGCCCCUUCUGGCGUUCAGCCUGGGUGUUGGUGCCAAGUCCUGUGUCAAGGCCCGCGGUGCCCGCGGACCAGUUGGCCAGCUCGUGGCAAAGUGGGUGUUGAAGCCACUGCGUGUGGGGGAAAGUGGCCGCUUUGGGGAGCGCCAAUACAGUAAGGGUUGGUUCCUGUGAGUCACGCAUAGCCUUGGCGCAUGCGAGGGCCCACAUGAGCGCCUUCCGUGCAUCGUGGGGGGUAGAGGAGGGGUGGGCAUAUUGCAAGCCGGUCCAUGCGGUCUGGUAGGCAUCGUGCAGUGCGCCAAAGGCCCCAUCAGCAGGGUCUCGUGUCCAGUAUUCGUGGGCUGCAGUGGAGGAGUUUAGUGGGGACGCAAACAUUUCCCGAAUGUGUACUGCUUGUGUGACCCGCAGGCAUUGGACGAUGGCUGCUACUGUGCCUGCCGGCAGUGACACCUGGUGCAUUGGCAUGGCCUUGCGGUCCUGCUGCGCCGGGUCAUAGCGGUAGCGCAUGAUGAGGGCAGCGACCGCUUCCUCAAAGGCGUUGGGCCGCUGGUUGCCGGUGUGCCUGAAGCGCUCCCACAGGGUAAGGAGGCGGGGGUAGGUGAUGGUGCCCAGCCAGCGGCCACUGGGUUCAUGGACGUGCGCCUCAGCUGGGUCACGGCGGGUGCCACCAGUGGUGGUAAUUGUGUAUGCUCCGGGGGCCACGAUGUCCUUGUAGGGGUUGCACGGGCUUGUGGUGAUGGUGG